AGGUACAUGAACUCUAACGAGGCA
rnacentral:miRNA from 1 species